GGACGCUCAUGAUGGGGAUGAGACUUCCAUUGCUCCCGGCCGACGCAUCCCCUCACGUGAUCGAGGAUUUCGCAAACCCAAAGUGGAACCGCCGUGAAAACGAUGGACAGCUGGACAGGACCCAGGGAGAGACGCAGAAAGAAACCCACCAAAGACCGGCAGACAAGCAAGAAAUCCCUUUCUGACGCACAAGGCACAUUCGUUCAAAGACACACACGCACACUGGCACACACACACACACACACACAGAGGAAAAGAAGCACACAGAGGGUGAGAGACAGAGAGAGAAGGGAGAAUGGGAGACACACCCCCACACACAGUCCUACCGCGGUGGCCGAGAAAUACAUGCCCCCAGGCAACCCCUGCGGCUGCCGGGUUCUGCUCCUGACGGGAACGACCCUCCGAUGACAGAACAGCCCUCGGGCACGCAGGCGGACCUGUCCUCGAGAUCACGGGGGCACGACUUCUCGGGAGACUCACCCGAACACCGUCCUGGCAGGCCUGAGGCUGGGAUGCCACGCUGCUUCCACCGGACUCCGCCUGUGGUUUCCUCAUCCUGCUCAGCCCCUUG
rnacentral:lncRNA from 10 species